CACCGUGGCUCUUACAGUCUCAGCCAUGGUUGCAUACCUUCCAAGCUCCACCGCCUCUUCUUCCUCGUGGGCAGAUCCCUGAUUUUGUGUAGGACAGCACUUGAAAUGUAUUUGUGUGCUCAACAUUGGUUUCCUCUCUGGAACCUGGGAUCACUUCAGGGGUGGACACGUGGCCCAACCAUGACUGAUGAGACAUGCGGGGAAAUCUGCAGAGGCAACUUCUAGGAAAGGUUGGGCUCUUGCAGCCACCCUGUGACUAUGAGGACUAUGAAGGGCUGAAGAUUUACUCUACUUGAGAACGAACCAGGUAACCUCCCACAAUUUCACAG
rnacentral:lncRNA from 10 species